rnacentral:rRNA from 1 species
GACGGAGGGUGCAAGCGUUGUUCGGAAUUACUGGGCGUAAAGGGCGCGUAGGCGGUUUGCUAAGUUCGGUGUGAAAGCCCCCGGCUCAACUGGGGAAAUGCGCUGGAAACUGGCAGACUCGAGUACCGGAGAGGAGGGUGGAAUUCCUGGUGUAGCGGUGAAAUGCGUAGAUAUCAGGAGGAACACCGGUGGCGAAGGCGGCCCUCUGGACGGAUACUGACGCUGAGGCGCGAAAGCGUGGGGAU